rnacentral:rRNA from 1 species
GAAAGAUGGCUUUGGCUAUCACUCUGGGAUGGACCUGCGGUGCAUUAGCUAGUUGGUAAGGUAACGGCUUACCAAGGCGAUGAUGCAUAGCCGAGUUGAGAGACUGAUCGGCCACAAUGGAACUGAGACACGGUCCAUACUCCUACGGGAGGCAGCAGUAGGGAAUCUUCCACAACGGGCGCAAGCCUGAUGGAGCAACACCGCGUGAGUGAAGAAGGGUUUCGGCUCGUAAAGCUCUGUUGUUGGAGAAGAACGUGCGUGAGAGUAACUGUUCACGCAGUGACGGUAUCCAACCAGAAAGUCACGGCUAACUACGUGCCAGCAGCCGCGGUAAUACGUAGGUGGCAAGCGUUAUCCGGAUUUAUUGGGCGUAAAGCGAGCGCAGGCGGUUGCUUAGGUCUGAUGUGAAAGCCUUCGGCUUAACCGAAGAAGUGCAUCGGAAACCGGGCGACUUGAGUGCAGAAGAGGACAGUGGAACUCCAUGUGUAGCGGUGGAAUGCGUAGAUAUAUGGAAGAACACCAGUGGCGAAGGCGGCUGUCUGGUCUGCAACUGACGCUGAGGCUCGAAAGCAUGGGUAGCGAACAGGAUUAGAUACCCUGGUAGUCCAUGCCGUAAACGAUGAGUGCUAGGUGUUGGAGGGUUUCCGCCCUUCA